rnacentral:rRNA from 1 species
AACGAACGCUGGCGGCGCGCCUAAUACAUGCAAGUCGAGCGAGAAGACGUAGCAAUACGUUUGUAAAGCGGCGAACGGGUGAGGAAUACAUGGGUAACCUACCCUCGAGUGGGGAAUAACUAGCCGAAAGGUUAGCUAAUACCGCGUACGCUCCUUGGACUUCGGUUCAGGGAGGAAAGCGAUACCGUGGGUAUCGCGCUCUUGGAUGGGCUCAUGUCCUAUCAGCUUGUUGGUGAGGUAACGGCUCACCAAGGCUUCGACGGGUAGCUGGUCUGAGAGGACGAUCAGCCACACCGGCACUGCGACACGGGCCAGACUCCUACGGGAGGCAGCAGUAAGGAAUAUUGCGCAAUGGGCGAAAGCCUGACGCAGCGACGCCGCGUGGGGGAUGAAGGUCUUCGGAUUGUAAACCCCUUUCGGGAGGGAAGAUGGAACGAGCAAUCGUUCGGACGGUACCUCCAG